AUUGAACGCUGGCGGCAGGCCUAACACAUGCAAGUCGAACGAGUGGCGGACGGGUGAGUAAUGUCUGGGAAACUGCCUGAUGGAGGGGGAUAACUACUGGAAACGGUAGCUAAUACCGCAUACCCUCAGAUGUGCCCAGAUGGGAUUAGCUUGUUGGUGGGGUAACGGCGCACCAAGGCGACGACCCCUAGCUGGUCUGAGAGGAUGACCAGCCAGACUGGAACUGAGAGACGGUCCCGACUCGUACGGGAGGCAGCAGUGGGGAAUAGUGCACAAUGGGCGCGAGCCGGAUGCAGCCAUGCCGCGUGUAUGAAGAAGGGCUGCGGGUUGUAAAGUGCUUUCAGCGGGGAGGCGUUACCCGCAGAAGAAGCACCGGCUAACUCCGUGCCAGCAGCCGCGGUAAUAC
rnacentral:rRNA from 1 species